rnacentral:misc_RNA from 1 species
GCGGCAAGCCUAGUCAGCG